GACGAACGCUGGCGGCGUGCCUAAUACAUGCAAGUAGGACGCAGUUGCGAACGGGUGCGUCAAGCGUAGGUAACUACCUAUUAGAGGGGGAUAACUAUUGGAAACGAUAGCUAAUACCGCAUACUAGUAGAUGGACCUGCGUUGUAUUAGCUCGUAAGUUGGGUAAAGGCCUACCUAGGCAACGAUACAUAGCCGACUUGAGAGGGUGAUCGGCCACACUGGGACUGAGACACGGCCCAGACUCCUACGGGAGGCAGCAGUAGGGAAUCUUCGGCAAUGGGGGGAACCCUGACCGAGCAACGCCGCGUGAGUGAAGAAGGGUUUCGGAUCGUAAAGCUCUGUUGGUAAGGAAGCGGUACUUAACCAGAAAGGGACGGCGAACUACGUGCCAGCAGCCGCGGGAAAC
rnacentral:rRNA from 1 species